CAACUGCCGUCACUGCUCUUCCCGCCCCGGUCACAGUGAAAAUGUAGACGGGGUCGUUGUCCGCACGACUGUGCGCCAGGGCUCGGGGACGGGGGCCCUCCGCGUGAGCGCUCCCCUGGGAAUAUUGAACAUAAUCACCUCUCAUUCCAGACUAUGUUAGGUCUUAAUGGUGGGAGGACGCCCGAGUCCUCCGCCCGUUUCACCCCGAGGGGGCGGGACACUGGGUCAUGACGCCAUCAGAGGGCGCCAGAGCAGGGACCGGACGCGAGUUGGAGAUGUUGGACUCGCUGUUGGCCUUGGGCGGCCUGGUGCUGCUUCGGGAUUCCGUGGAGUGGGAGGGGCGCAGUCUCUUGAAGGCGCUUGUCAAGAAAUCUGCACUGUGGUGAGUAUCCCACAGUGUCUCCCCGGCCUACCCUGGAUAGGGCACCUGUGCCCACUCUUUGACAAUCCCUUCUCAUCUCUGCCUUAGUGGGGAGCAAGUGCAUAUCCUGGGCUGUGAAGUGAGCGAGGAAGAGUUUCGUGAAGGUUUUGACUCUGAUAUCAACAAUC
rnacentral:lncRNA from 1 species